UACAGAGGGUGCGAGCGUUAAUCGGAAUUACUGGGCGUAAAGCGCGCGUAGGCGGCUUUGCAAGUCGGGUGUGAAAUCCCCAGGCUUAACCUGGGAACUGCAUUCGAGACUGCAUUGCUAGAGUAUGGGAGAGGGAAGUGGAAUUUCAGGUGUAGCGGUGAAAUGCGUAGAUAUCUGAAGGAACAUCAGUGGCGAAAGCGACUUCCUGGACCAAUACUGACGCUCAUGUGCGAAAGCGUGGGGAGCGAACAGG
rnacentral:rRNA from 1 species